UACGUAGGGGGCAAGCGUUGUCCGGAGUUACUGGGCGUAAAGCGCACGCAGGCGGUCUGUUAAGUUUGGAGUGACAGUUGGUGGCUUAACUGCCAAAGUGCUUUGAAAACUGACAGACUUGAGGGCUUCAGAGGGACACGGAAUUCCGGGUGGAGUGGUGAAAUGCGUAGAGAUCCGGAGGAACACCAGUGGCGAAGGCGGCUACCUGGACCAGCACUGACACUGAGGCACGAAAGCGUGGGGAGCAAACAGG
rnacentral:rRNA from 1 species